GGAAACUGAGAUAAGCUCUGUGGGAGCACACCAGGGGUAGUUGGUAAGAAAAUACCACCUUUCAGCUGGGAACUUGGUGGAUUCCACCCUAUAUCCAGCGUUUUAUCAAUACCACUUCUCAAAGAAGCGGGACCGCCUUUUCCAAUUCCUAUUGGGUUUAUAGUGCUCGCGUUAUGUUGGACAUUAAUAUCACAAAAUCCCAAGUUCUGUGUAUUUGUGGGGUGGUCCCAUACUCCUGGACUAAAGGAGUCCACCAUAGAAGCAGAAGAACAAGAAG
rnacentral:misc_RNA from 1 species